GUAAGGAGGGACCACGGGGAAGGGGUGGGCUCGAGUUGACGAACCUGAUAGGUCGACGCCGCAGGUAGAGAAGAACUUCCUGUUUUCUCUGGAAACUAGUGUUACAGAAUGACUAAAAUAGGGUAGUUGCGGGAUCUUGAUUUCCUCCUCUUGACACCUCAGGCACUGCUCUCACAAGUGGUGCACAAACAUACAUGCAGAUAAAACACCUAUACACAUAAAAAUAAUCUCUAAAAAUUUUUUUGUAAAAGAAGCAUAGUAGUAAAUAUUGGCUUAGUAUGGCCAAGGACCUGAAUUUGAUCCCAAAUAUUGAAAAUAACCAGUAUGUAGCUGACCUUGGCGGGCUGCGGUGGUUUGACUGAGAAUGGCUGCUCCCUUGGACUUAUUUGAAUGCUUAGCCCCCAGUUGAUAGAUCUGUUUGGGAAGGAUUGGGAAAUGUGGGCUCGUUGGAGGAAGUGUGUCACUGGGGGUAAUUUCAAAAGCCUACACCAGGCCUAGUCUGUCUCCCUCUCUCUGCCUCUCUGCCUUGUACUUGCUGAUUCAAUACACAUUCUCAGCUCCUACUACAGAGCCAUGCCUGCUGCCUGCUGAUGUUCCUCACCCUCGUGGGGCCAUGGACUCACCCUCUGAACUGCAAGCUCUUCUAUAAUUUUCCUUGGUCAUAGUGUCUCUUCACAGCAAUAGAAAAGUAAGUGGUGAUGGAGGCAUAGCAUGGCAACCCUUGGAACCCCGAUCAGUCAUGGCACUGGAAAUGUCAAGGAACAUUCAGGCCAUGGUCUGCAGCCUGUAUACCACCAUGGCUUCCUGCCGGUCAAGGGAUAGAACUGCAUACCAGAUCCACUGUGCUUCAGGAUGAGUGUGGUGCUCUGGAAAAUGUGAAGGCUGCCAGUGAACUCUCCUCUGUCUGGAGAGGUAACUGAAGUCAAUGAAGCACUUGCAGGAAACAUGGGGCUUGUCAGCAAAUCCCUGAAGGUAGUUGGCUGACCAACAUAACACCAUGUGACUGUUCAGAGCUGUGAACUAAUGAAAGAAGAGGCAUGUGGGAAAUACAUGAAACCCAGUGAAGAGUGAACACAGCACCCUAGUACCCUAAAUCAGUGGGAAGUGACCUGCUCUGACAUGCUUGUCUUAAAUUAGUGGAGCAUAGAAGACUUGAGAUAACUUUUAGCAGUAUUGAUAGAAAAGAACAUUCUUGACAAUGCUACUUAAGGAAAACACCCCGACUUGCUAAUGGGUGCAGAUAAGCACUGUGUACAUAUUUUCAUAAACUCUAAAUGCAUAGCUAUACUUAGCUCCAGUCUUUAGAAGUCAUGAGAUCACCUAUGGGAAAAAGUAAUUAUGAAGCUGGAUUUGAUGACAAACCACUUUUUUUUUUUUCUCGGAGCUGGGGACCAAACCCAGGGCCUUGUGCUUGCUAGGCAAGCGCUCUACCACUGAGCUAAAUCCCCAACCCCAACAAACCACUCUUUUAAUUCCAGUAUUCAACAGGCAGAAUUCAAGGGCAGCCUGAUGUAUGUAACAAAUUCCAGGCCAGCAAGAGUUACAUGAUGAGACCCUACCUAGUGAUUAUAAGAAUUCUAUAAUUCAGGAUAACAAUGCUGUAAGUCUUGUAUAAUAUUCUAAUCUGCCCAUAUCUAUCCAUGGGUUUACAUCAGGAGACUUAAUGUACCUUCUCAUUAGAAACAGUGUCAGAUGAAGGACAGUGUUGUCUUCAUUUUACCAUGCGCUGCACUGACCAAUGCUGUUCUGCAGUAAGGCACCGACUUUGCAGUACAGGGAGAAAUGAAACAAUCAUCCUGCCGAGUCAGGCAUGGCCUUGGUGGGGACAGAAUGACAUGGUUCCUGCCCCUGGGACAGAGCCAGCAGGUGUGGGCUGAAGGCUUGCUCAUAUAAUAAUGUGCAUAUUUUCACAUUCCUCUGAGGAAUGUCCUCCCUGUUAACAUUAAUGACUCCAUGAUAAUCAGAGACAGCAUGAGUCUGGGAGGAGAUGGUGUGGCUAACUAAUGUCUCAGCAUAUUGCUAAAGGCUGGUCAGAAAUCCCAAG
ensembl:lncRNA